rnacentral:rRNA from 1 species
AUUGAGCGCUGGCGGCAGGCCUAACGCAUGCAAGUCGAGCGAGCGGCGGACGGGUGAGUAAUGUAUGGGGACUGCCCGAUAGAGGGGGAUAACUACUGGAACCGGUGGCUAAUACCGCAUACUAUCGGAUAACCCAUAUGGGAUUAGCUAGUAGGUGGGGUAAAGGCUCACCUAGGCGACGAUCUCUAGCUGGUCUGAGAGGAUGAUCAGCCACACGGGGACUGAGACACGGCCCAGACCCCUCCGGAGGCAGCAGUGGGACAUAUUGCACAAUGUGCGCAAGCCUGAGUCAGCAUUGCCGCGAGUAUGAAGAAGGCCUUAGGGUUAGAAAGUACUUGUAACGGGGAGGCGUCACGCGCAGAAGAAGCACCGUCUAACUCCGUGCCAGCAGCCGCGGUAAUAC